ACAUGGCAGGUUGGGGUCCCCAACUCAACAGGUCUUCCUGCUCUGGUCCACUUUCAGAGAAGAAUCCACAUCUCACUGAAGCAUCUCCAGGGGCUGGUGUGACAACGGCCAAUGGGCUGAGUCUCAGCCAGAGGAUCCGAGUGCAGGCGGGGACCCUCCCCAAACCCACCAUCUGGGCUGAGCCAGGCUCUGUGAUCUCCUGGGGGAGGCCUGUGACCAUCUGGUGUCAGGGGACCCUGGAGGCCGAGGAGUACCGUCUGGAGAGAGAGGGAAGACAAGCACCCUGGGACAGACAGAACCCACAGGAGCCCAGGAACAAGGCCAAGUUCUCUGUCUCACACAUGACAGAGACAUAUGCAGGGCGGUAUCAGUGCUACUACUGCAGCCCCACUGACUGGUCAGCACCCAGUGACCCCCUGGAGCUCCUGGUCCCAGGUGUGUCCAGGAAGCCGUCCCUCCUGGCCCAGCCGGGCCCUGUCGUGGCCUUGGAACAGAACCUGACCCUCCAGUGUCGCUCUGACAUCAGCUACGACAGAUUCGCUCUGUCCAAGGAGGGGGCUCGUGACCUCACCCAGUGCCUCGGCCGGCAUCCCCAGGGGGGGCUCUCUCAGGCCGACUUCCCCCUGGUCCGUGUGAGCAGCACCCACGGGGGCAGGUACAGAUGCUACGGUGGACACAACCUCUCCUCCGAGUGGUCGGCCCCCAGCGAGCCCCUGGACGUCCUCAUCGCAGGGGAGCUCCCUUCCACACCCUCCCUCUCUGCCCAGCUGGGCUCCAACGUGUCCUCAGGAGAGAAGGUGACCCUGCGCUGUCAGUCGUGGAGCCCGAUGGACAGUUUCCUUCUGUCCAAGGAGGGGGGAGUCGAUCCCCCCCUGCGUCUUAGAUCCUGGCACCGAGCCCAGAUGUUCCUGGCCGACUUCACUGUGAGCUCCGUGACCUCAGCCCCCGGGGGCACCUACAGGUGCUACGGCUCACGCAGCUCCAACCCCUACCUGUUGUCUCAGCCCAGUGCCCCCCUGGAGCUCGUGGUCUCAGGCUCUGCUCCGCAAGAUUACACAGUGGAGAAUCUCAUCCAAUUGGGCAUGGCUGGAUUCGUCCUGGUGGUACUCGGGGUGCUGCUAUUUCAGUCUCGGCAAAGCCAGGGAAGGCCCCAAGACGCAGCCAGGACAUAAACACAGGUGGAAACAAAUGCGCCAUUCAGAGUGGGAGAGUCUUGGAAAAUAUCUGAAGUGUCCAGUGGUCCUCGAAGAAAACUGUGUGAACUUUCCGCUGAGAAUCUCGCAGGGGAGCAUGCAUCAUUGGGCUACAGGACAUCAGGCUACAUCCCACAUGCCAGUUUGGGGUCCCCAACACAACAGGUCUUCCUGCUCUGGCCCACUUUCAGGUAAUAUUUCUCUUCAUCUUUAAGUAGAACAUUCCAUGAUUUGUGCUAUUGAUUCAUCAUGUCAUCAGUUCAAAUCAUGAAGCUUGGUUGUGAUAACUGAAUAAAUGAGCUGAAGUAAUUUUCCAGCCUGGAAAAGAUGAAUCCUAAAUGAUGUCCUAACACCCUCUCUGGACCCCAUGUGCCCUUCACUCUUCAGUACUUGCUGCCUGGGGUAAUUUCCCUACACAUAUCAUCACUUGGAAUCAACUCACUUUGUGCUUGAACAGACUGCCCGGUGGUGUGAUGGUAAACUGGCUCUCUAAAAAUACAUGCUUUUAAAGAGCAUUUGCCAAUUUCUCUGCUGUAAACACUCCAUUCAUGGCCAAGUUUCAGAUGCCAAUGUUACAUUUCUGAAUGCAGAGGUGGGGAGUUAUAUGCAGAAUCUUCUUUUGCAACUGAGUACAAACUGGCUGCAGCUCAUCUCUCUGAUGGCCUCGAUGUGCACUUCUAUUUCUUUUUAUUUCAUGUGUAAUGAUCAUUUCUACCCUAAAAUUAUGGCACAGUUUUAAAAUUUUAUUUAAAUUGUGGUAAAUCAUAAAAUAAGAAAAAUCAUUUUAACCAUUUUCAAGUGGACGAUUCUGGGACAUUAAGUAUAUUGACAAUUUUGUGUAACUAACAGCAUGAUCUAUUUCCAGACUAUUUUCAUCAAUCCAAAGUGAAAAUCAUGCCCAUUAUGCAACAUCUCCUGCCCAUAGUUGUGUGAAUUUGUCUCUGGACUGUAUUCUAUUUCAUUGACCUUUUUCUAUCCGUAUACUAGUAGCAUACAAUCAUUAUUGAAUAAUUUUCAGACAACAAAGGAAGCUGUGAUGGUUAGGUUUAUGUGUCAACUUGGCCAGGUGAUGGUGUCCAGGUGUCUGGUCAAGCAAGCACUGGCCUAACCA